rnacentral:lncRNA from 1 species
AGCUGCGCUAAGCUGAGGCAUUUGGGGACUCGUUAGCACUCCUGCACUGCUGAACCAUUGGUGGUCGGAGGUGCUGCCAAGCCCGAGGCCCAGUAGUGUCUGCUCUCUGCUCAGAAUAGAAGGAGGAUGCGCUGACUCUGUGGAAUCAGAUAAAUUUGAGUUAAAAUCUCAGCUCUCCACAUAGAAUCUGUGUGACCUUUGCAUUUGAACUUACUGCUCUCUUGCCGGACUCCUCUGCUCAGUAAUAUCCAUCCAAAUUGUUAAGUUGUCUUUCGACUGGCAUCUAAAGUUAAGAUCCAAAGUCUGUGACAAAUGAAUUGAGUUUUAAUUUUAAAACCCUAAUCAAGUUUCUUUGACUUUCCUAAGUAGCAGAUGAUUCUAACCAAAGGCUACAUAGAAAAGAAGAGGAAACAAAGGCAACAAUUUGGGAUUCUCUUGCUGACUUUAUCCUUCUUGACCUGGAGAAAAGAAAAGAGAUAGAAAGGAAGAAGAAAGAUGGACGAUUCAUUUGCUCUCUCUCCUUUGGCUCACUUAGCAUUGAUGAAGGAAAGGAGUGUUCCGUGGGUGGUCCAAGAAUUCUGAACAGCCCUGGGCUGUAGGGCAGACAAAGGAUAGUAGUGUUUCUCCUUCUGAAACUCUCAGGCAGAAGUGUCUGGUGAAGCUUCCCCAUUUUGAUUUGGCUUGUUUGGAUCUGAUGUGGACUCAAUAGAGUAGCUAUGAAGAACAGAAUCUUGGACUGCUGUAGGUUCCAGAUUCACCUACGGUUGUGGGGGCAUCUUAACCUCUCCAAUCUGUCUGUGGGACUCUGUCUUUGUGCUUUGGGUCCGUAACUUAAGAGAUGGUCCUUACAUAAUAUCGCAGAUAAUUUUGAGUUUCAUCUCAACUUCAAACAUAUGCUUUACACUUUUAAUUAAUACCCUAUAACAACAAUUAUUUGUUUAGCUGAACCACCAUUUCUCUUUCCUACCUCCCAUUACAGAGGCUGUAAAAGCAAGCUACUUGUUUUCCAGCCUUUCAGUUCAGCUAAAAGACUUAAGGAGAAGUCUCCUGAGAGGCUCUAGGAGAGUUUUUCCCUCACUGAUACAUGAAAGGGAAAAUAUUAAGACAAGGCCUCUUUGAGGCAACAGACAUUAGGAUGAAAAGUCUAAAUAUCAAGUAUGGCAGAGCGAAGAUUGAAAAGAGCUGCAAUCCUUGAAGACUGACCACCUGAAUUAAAGUUACCUACUGCCAAUCUCCAACCUUUUUGUUAUGUGAGGAAAAUAAAUCCCUAUUUGUUUAUACUUACCCACAUAUUUACCAUUUACAGUAUUCUUCAUUCCUUUGUGUAGAUAUCAUUUUCCUUCUGUCCAAAAGACUUCCUUUAAUGUUUUUUGUAUGCACGUCUACUAGUGACAAAGUUUUUCGGCUUUCUAUGUCUGAAAAAGUCUUCAUUUUCCUUUCGUUUUUGAAAGGUGUUUUCACUGGGCAUAGAAUUCUAGGUUGACGGUAUUUUUCUUUCAGAACUUUAAAGAUAUCACUCUACCAAUUUCAUUCACUCUACCAACUUUCAUUGUGUCCAAUGAGGAGUCUGAUGUUAUUCUUAUCUUUGUUCCUCCAUAUGUAAAGCUUUAUUUUUCUUUGGCAGCUCUUAAGGUUUUCUUCUUGUUACUGGUUUUAAGGAAUUUGAUUAUCAUGUGCUUUGGUAUAGUUUUCAUUAUGUUACUUGUACUUGGGGUUUGUUGAGCUUCUUGGAUCUGUGCCUUUCUGGUUUUCACCAACUUUAGAGAAAUCUUGGCUUUUAUUUCUGCAGUUUUUUCUGCCCCCUACCCCUCCAUUCUCUCUUUCCUUCAGGGCUUCUAAAUACACAGGUAUUAGGCGGCUGGAAGUGGUCCCAAACCUAUUUCUUUACGUGUUCAUUUCCUCCCCAAAGCCCCAGUACGUAGUUGUAUAUUCUAGUUGUAAGUCCUUCUAGUUCUUCUGUGUGAGCCACUGCCAUGGCAUGGCUACUGACAGACGAUUGGUGUGGUUCUGAACCUGUGGAGCUGAACCCAGGACACUGAAGUGGAGCAUGCUGAACCUUAACCACUAGGCCCUCAGAGCUGCCUCUGUUUAUUUUGUUUUUAAGCUUAUUUCUCUCUGUGUGUCAUUUUCGAUAGUUUUCAGGUUCACUUCAAGUUCUUCAGUGUCUAAUCUGCUGUUAAUCCCAUCCAGUGUAUUUUUCAUCUCAGACAUUAUGCUUUUCAUUUCUAGAUAUUCUAUUUGGGUCUCCUUUUUAAUCUUCUGUGUUUCUAUUUAACAUGAUUAUGUUUUUCUCUACUUUCUUAAGCUUGUGGAAUAUAGUUAUAAUAAUCACUUUAAUAAUCAUAUUUACUAAUUCUAUCAUCUAUAUAAUUUCUUGUUGGCUUUCAAUGAAUUGAUUAUUUUCCUCAUUAUGGGCUAUAUUUUCCCUGCUUCUUUGCAUGGCUGGCAAUUUUUGAAUUAAAUGCCAGACAUUGUAAAUUUUUUCUUGUUCGCUGCUGGAUAUUCUUGUUUAAAAUUUUUUUUCUGGGGGCUGGCCCAGUGG